CACAAGUCAGAAACGUUUGAAAAGUUCAAAGAGUUCAAACAUGAAGUGGAGAAUCAAUUGGGCAGGAAAAUCAAGAUGCUUCGAUCCGAUCGAGGAGGAGAGUACCUAAGUCUUGAAUUCCACGACUAUCUCAAGGAAUGCAGAAUAGUUUCGCAAUUGAUGCCACCUAGGACACCGCAGUUGAAUGGUGUGGCAGAAAGGCGUAAUCGAACCCUGUUAGACAUGGUUCGUUCUAUGAUGAGUGGUGCUUCACUACCUAUCUCUUUCUGGGGGUAUGCCUUAGAGACUGCCGCCCAUAUCCUUAACCGAGUCCCUACAAAGAAGGUUGCCAAAACACCUCACGAGAUGUGGACAGGGAAAGCUCCCUCGUUGGCACAUAUUAAGGUUUAGGGUUGUGAAGUUUUCGUAAGACGAGAAACUCAUGACAAACUCGAACCUCGUAGUGAGCGGUGUAUUUUUAUCGGCUAUCUGCAGAAAUCCUUUGGAUAUCUCUUCUAUAGAUCGAGUGAUAAUGUUUNGGGACCAAGGUUGAUCCUGCUAAGCCCAACCCAAACCCAAAGGAGGCUGAGUGCCAUCAUUUCCACAAAAUAGGGCAUUGGAAGAGAAGCGGCCCGGAAUAUCUACAAGCCAUCAAGGAUGGAAAGAUCAAGCCAUCUUUCGCAGGUAUUUACACAAUUAAAUCUAAUGAUUCAUCUCAUGCUAUUUCUUGGGUUCUUGAUACAGGGUGUGGUUACCACAUUUGUUCUGAUUUGCAGGGACUAGGAAGAAAUAGGGAUGGGGAGCUUGGAAGAAUAAAUCUAAUCAUGGGGAACAAAAGAUCGUCGCUUGUUACCAAGAUUGGAGUGUAUUCUUUAGUGCUUAGUAACGGAUUGAAUUUAGAUUUAAAUAAUUGUUGCUACUCGCCAGAUAUGGAAAGAAACAUCAUUUAUUUUCAUGGUUUAUUCAGACAAGGAUUUAGAUAUUCGUUUAAUAUUGAGAAUGGUUCAAUUUAUGCUUAUCUAAAUGGUGUUUUAUAUUUUGAAGCUAUUCCUUGUAAUGGAAUUUAUGAAACUGUUAUGGUUGUAGAUAACCUAGGAAAUGAUGUGUUGUGUAUGGAUUCUUCCAAUAGUAUGGAUAAAGCAUCCUUGUGGCAUUGUCGUCUUGGACAUGUCAACAAGAAGCGCAUAGCCCAACUCCAAAAGGAUGGAGUGUUGGAGUCAUUCGACCUUAGGGAAGAUGACACGUGCGAAUCUUGUUUACUUGGAAAGAUGACUAAGUCACCCUUCACUAGCACAUGUGAAAGGGGUGAGGGUUUAUUGGACCUCAUACAUACCGAUGUAUGUGGACCCUUUAGAUCAACCACAAAGGAUGGGAACCGCUUCUAUGUGACUUUUACCGAUGACUAUAGUAGAUAUGGGUAUAUCUACUUAAUCAAGCAAAAGUCAGAAACGUUUGAAAAGUUCAAAGAGUUCAAGAAUGAAGUGGAGAAUCAAUUGGGCAGGAAAAUCAAGAUGCUUCGAUCCGAUCGAGGAGGAGAGUACCUAAGUCUUGAAUUCCACGAUUAUCUCAAGGAAUGCGGAAUAGUUUCACAAUUGACGCCUCCUAGGACACCGCAGUUGAAUGGUGUGGCAGAAAGGCGUAAUCGAACCUUAUUGGAUAUGGUUCGCUCUAUGAUGAGUCGUGCUUCACUACCUAUCUCUUUUUGGGGGUAUGCCUUAGAGACUGCCGCCCAUAUCCUUAACCGAGUCCCUACUAAGAAGGUUGCCAAAACACCUCACGAGAUGUGGACAGGGAAAGCUCCCUCGUUGGCACAUAUCAAGGUUUGGGGUUGCGAGGCUUUCGUAAGACGAGAUACUCACGACAAGCUUGAACCUCGAAGUGAGCGAUGUAUUUUCAUCGGCUACCCGCAGACAUCCUUUGGAUAUCUCUUCUAUAGACCGAAGGACAAUGUUGUCUUCGUUGCGAGGAGAGGAGUUUUCCGAGAGCGAGAACUCAUAAGCCAAGGAGACAGUGGGAGGCAAAUCGAACUUGAAGAGAUUCAAGAAUCGAUAGAUGAAGGAACCUCUACCGCUGGCACUCAACCCGAGGAGGAAACUCCGGUUGAACCGAUUGACGAGUCCUUACCUCUUAGACGUUCCGAAAGAGUUAGAGUUCAACCCCAGUUUUAUGGUUUUCAUAUUACUACCGAAGGGGACACGUAUAUUAGUGAUGGUACACUAAUAAAUCUUGAUGAACCUAAUAGCUAUAAGGAAGCCAUGGCAGGCCCGGAGUCUGCAAAAUGGAAAGAGGCAAUGGAUAGCGAGAUCCAAUCCAUGUAUGAUAACCAAGUUUGGAAUUUGGUUGAUUAUGUGCCCGGACGUAAGACCGUUGGGUGCAA
rnacentral:lncRNA from 1 species